rnacentral:lncRNA from 1 species
UUUUUUUUUUCUUGGAACAGUGAAUCGCGAUGAACAGUAAUUUCGGCGAUAAACAAUACUCUGAUGAACAAUAACUAUUUUUUUAAUGUGAAAACCCAAAAUCUCCAAAAUAUUAAUAAAUUGAUGGAGAGACAAAGCUCUGAUGCCAAUAUGAUGUAGGAUGUAAAUUGUUGAACAGAUAAUUAAUUGGAAAAGACAAAAUCACCAAAGAGAAUUUAAAGAAAUAGGGUGAUUCAAACGUAGGAGAACAACUAUCCCUAGGGUUUCCCAAUUGCAGGAAGGAGGAAAAAUAUUGAUUGCAAC